rnacentral:rRNA from 1 species
CCUACGGGAGGCAGCAGUGGGGAAUAUUGGACAAUGGGCGAAAGCCUGAUCCAGCCAUGCCGCGUGUGUGAAGAAGGCCUUCGGGUUGUAAAGCACUUUCAGUGGGGAAGAAAGCCUUGGGGCUAAUACCCUCGAGGAAGGACAUCACCCACAGAAGAAGCACCGGCUAACUCCGUGCCAGCAGCCGCGGUAAUACGGAGGGUGCGAGCGUUAAUCGGAAUUACUGGGCGUAAAGCGCGCGUAGGCGGUCUGAUAAGCCGGUUGUGAAAGCCCCGGGCUCAACCUGGGAACGGCAUCCGGAACUGUCAGGCUAGAGUGCAGGAGAGGAAGGUAGAAUUCCCGGUGUAGCGGUGAAAUGCGUAGAGAUCGGGAGGAAUACCAGUGGCAAAGGCGGCCUUCUGGACUGACACUGACGCUGAGGUGCGAAAGCGUGGGUAGCAAACAGGAUUAGAUACCCGUGUAGUC